AAACAAAAUUUCUCUUCUCUUCUUCCUCACACCGCGCGCCCCCCCUCGUGAAACCCUCGCCGCCGAACCUCCCAGCAGCCACGCUUCCAUCGACCCAACACUGAUGAGCAAUCGGCGACCCGAAGCCUUCUCAGCGCACCGCCGGUUAGAUGUGAAGCCCAGCCGCACGUUAGCUUUGCUCGACAUCGUCUGUCAGAUCCGUUGAAGUCGCGCCGGCCUCACGCGCAAACAAAGCACCAGCCGAGCGACGCCACCGCUUCGAGCUUCGACUCCCGCCACUGCCUUCAUGCCUAGCCGCCACACCAUUUCUUCCAGCAGCCACUUGACGCCGUCCAACCCUGUUUGGUUGAGGCCGAGCCGCUCGUCCAACCCACCGCCCGAGCCCAGCCGUCGAUCUCCGCCGGUCACUGCCUUCCUUCACUGUCAUUCAUCAGAUUUCGGCUAGUGUUGAUUCAAGAUUGGAGUAAUUCAGAGUGCGCAACGUGCUGUCCAACAGAUUCGAGUUCGUUCGGCAAGUAGUAGUUUAAUAAGCAUUGUGAUCCUUGUGGUUGGUUGUCGGGCACCUAUUGAUUAUUGGACUAAAUGAUGGUUUGAUUUUAAGUAUUUUGAAGGUUCCAAGUCGUCGUCCAUUGGGUUUUAAAAUUUUGCUAAGAGGAGAUUUUGGAGUCGAAAUCUUGCUAAGUGUUUGUUGAUCAAGUUUCAUUUGGGUAAGUUAAUUGGUGAUUGUUGGAUAAAAUUUGUAUGUUUGGGUCUUAGUUCCAAAGACUUAAAUUUAGUGUUAUGUCUAUAUCAUGGGACUUAAUUCAAGAUU